rnacentral:rRNA from 1 species
GUGGGGAAUUUUGGACAAUGUGCGCAAGCCUGAUCCAGCAAUGCCGCGUGCAGGAAGAAGGCCUUCGGGUUGUAAACUGCUUUUGUACGGAACGAAACGGUCCUGGUUAAUACCUGGGGCUAAUGACGGUACCGUAAGAAUAAGCACCGGCUAACUACGUGCCAGCAGCCGCGGUAAUACGUAGGGUGCAAGCGUUAAUCGGAAUUACUGGGCGUAAAGCGUGAGCAGGCGGUUUUGUAAGACAGGCGUGAAAUCCCCGGGCUCAACCUGGGAAUGGCGCUUGUGACUGCAAGGCUGGAGUGCGGCAGAGGGGGAUGGAAUUCCGCGUGUAGCAGUGAAAUGCGUAGAUAUGCGGAGGAACACCGAUGGCGAAGGCAAUCCCCUGGGCCUGCACUGACGCUCAUGCACGAAAGCGUGGGGAGCAAACAGGAUUAGAAACCCCGGUAGUCC